CGAUCGGCGCGGUGGGAAUCGGCCCAAACGCCGAUAAGUCUGGGGACCCCUGGUUUAGUCAGUGCAGCAAUAAAGAUCAGGGCAAGCUUGAAAAAUAAAUUUCAUUCUCUGUUAGAAACUCAGGUAUGUAAGCUAGUCCCUUAAACCGGGGCUGUAGUCACUAAAACGGAAUGUCUAGUUGCCAUUUUGGGGCCAGAUAGCUCAAAAGUUGGCUUUUUUUUUUGGUUCCUGAAAUUUGCUCUGAUAGUUGAGAUAAAAUAUAAUGAAUGGAAUUCUACAGGGUGUGUUGCUAGUGUGCAAAAGUCAAGAUCCGAAGAUCCUCAGGCAGGCACCUCCAAACGGUGGAGAUGCGGGCAUCUUCACUUGGCCACAAGUGGCCAGUAGCCAGGUACAAAAUGUGCUUGGCGCCUGGUGAAUUUCGAACACUGAUUUCAUUGCUAGGAUAUAUAUUUUGCUAUGAAUAAGCGUUAAUCAUUAUUUUUGCUUUGAACCUUUACACUAGUCACAGAGUGGCGGAGAUAAAUUUAUAGCCAAGCAAUGGAGUACAAGUUGGAAAGGGGAUUUAUAUGUGGCUUUUAAAAUAUUCAGAUUAUUAUUAUUAUUAUUAUUAUUUAAAAGAAAGAUCUGGAAACAGAAGUAAAUUAAUGAAUACAUGCUGUGCAGUGAAUUGCCGUGUUUUGAGAAUAACUUUGGGUGUGCUGGCUGGAGAAAAAAGACCUGUCUGUCUCCUUCCAUAGUUUGUUGAAAGUUCAUAGACUCAGAGGCUUGGUAAUGGUGAGAGGAAGAAGGGGGAAGGGGGGUCCCUUUUCUUUGUUGAGGCUUGCAGAUUGCUGGAAAGAUGUGCUUUAUUGAUCAUUGUAAACUCUUCUGCCUUAUUACAGUUAUAUCAUGGAAUCUGUUUUUAAGGAGUCCUUCUGAGAAUUAGUCGGAGAAAAAGCAAUUUGAUUGUGUUUUCUAAUCAUGAACAGAUGGGAGGCCAGACCUGAAAUAGUUUGUUGGCUGCCUGCCACCAUCCUAUGAAUUUUUAUUUGUGUGGAUGUGUAACAGUUUUAUUUUUCCCUUUUUGGGGGGGAGAGUAGGCAUGUAAGUCUCGGGGAAGAUUAAUCCUUUGUUUCCUGCGAAAUGUGCGCUUGUAAAACAAAUGUUGCAGCAGUGUGCCAUGCAGUCACCCUGCAUUGUAUCAAUUAGGAGGCGUGACAUCAGGAGACUGCGCAAGCUGUCAAAGGCUAGAGCAGUUUUCAAAAGCAUCUCUUAUUCAUGACUUUUCCAGAAGAAGGCGGGGAAAAGGAACACUCUCCUUCCACCCCAAAAAAGAGCAGUUAGAAUGGCAUUCCAUACCAGUCCCAUUGUUUGAAUUGUUGCCCUUACAAGGCUGUCAAACUGUUUCAGAAAUAAAUCUUGUCUACAAAAAAUACCAGAAAGGGAGUAUAGCUAUAUUCUCCAACUAAUGCCUGCAGGUUGGGAAGAAAUAUUCUUACAUAUCCAGCUCACCACUAGUACGCGUGUGACGUUGCCUUGGCUCCACUAGUACUAAAAUGUAAGAAUGAUUUCUAGAGUUUCCGUGUGCUAUGGCAAAUGCAGUGGUACCUCUACUUACAAAUAACUCUACUUACGAAUUUUUCUACUUACGAACGGAGCUCCGUCUGCCAUCUUGGAUGCGGUUUGGAUAGGAUUUUUUCUACUUACAAAUUUUUAGAUAGGGUUGCUUUGACUUACGAAUUUUUUCUCCCAAUGCAUUCCUAUGGGAUUCGACUUACAAUUUUUUUCGACUUACAAAUGUGUGUUCGGAACGCAUUAAAUUCGUAAGUAGAGGUACCACUGUACAACAGAGACAAAAGCCCAUUGCAGCCUCCUGGGCAUUAUUCUAUGUGCUGCCGCUGCUGUUUUUCUGAUAAUACCCAUUAUGGUUUUUUUACCUGUAUCUAGAUGUCUCACUCGCAGUCAUUUUUAGAUAUAGGCCCGAAAGGAUGCAAGCGCCACAAAUCUACUUGCCAGCAGGGUGCCUAAUGACCCACAGCAGGGAUGGGGAACCUGUGAUGCUUCAGAGAUGGUUGGACUUCAACCCCAGCCAGCAUGGCCAACGGUUGGUAGCUGAUGGGUGGAGUCCAACAAUAUCUGGUGGACCACAGCAAUGGUUUGAGGAAGGUGAAGAAUGGCAGAAGUGAGCCAGAAUGAUGGACUGUGCAGAAAUGGCAAAGCUUACAGUAAGAUUAAGAGAUAAUUUAGAAAAGGCUGGAAUCCAUUGACAGUGGUACCGGUACCUCUACUUAUGAAUGUUUCUACUUACAAAUGGAGCUCUGUCCGCCAUCUUGGAUGCGGUGUACACAGUAUCUGCAGAAAUAUUGUAAAGGAAUAGACUCACUUGCAAGGUUUGAAUAGCAAAAAGAUAUUGAAAUAAAUUAGAAAACCAAUUAGAAGUAAAUUUACAAAAGAGAUUAUGAAGUUAGGUAGAACAAUAGUAGCAAAAAACCAGAAGGGGAAGUUGAAGGAGGCCCUUGGGGUGGGGGUGGAGGGAUAGGAGGGAUUUUUCCCUCUUUAUUAUGUGAUUUCAUUAUGUUGACUGAAUAUAAAAUUUUACAAUCGAAUAAAAAUAUUUCUAUUAAAAAAAAAGAAUGGCAGAAGUGUCCCCUAAGUAAGAGGAGAAAGACUUCUGUUGUUUCUUGCUGUCUGCAAAGCUCCACAUGAACAAGAAGACCCUGCAAGUCCUGUGUUCAGCAAGGGGGAGGUUGGUGAUGAAUAAAAUCACUGCACACCUAGCAAGUCAAAGCGAUAUUCGUGGAUAGGAGCUAGGAGACUUGCUGGCCUUCGCAUAGCCUAGUUACCUAUGCUUGACUCCUGCUUGACUCUCCUGCCAGCUCUUCAGGUCAGUAGAUGAGAGUAAAAAUAUCCCAGGGCCUAAAUGUACAUCACAAAGGAUUAGAUUAGCAACUCUGUUAUGCUUUGAGGUUAUCUUGUGGUACAUUUGUCAAAAAAAGCUGGCCACUACUGACUAUAGAACAGACAAAAGGAAGAGUUCUGGGGAAAUAAAGAGGAUAUUCUCACCCAUCACAUUUCUGGAUCUUACAAAUACCUCUCUUUUUUUUACCCUGAGGAGAAAAACGGAGAGAUAAAGCCAAGAGCCCAUAAGCCAUGACAUUGUAUACCUUUCUUAUUCCUGGAUAUUAUUUGGAUAAAUGUUGUCUGAACACUUUUCCCGGUUGCCUGGAAACCCAAAUACCACACUUGUAAAACAAGUCUCCUAUUUAAAUGGGCGUGUUUUAAUGGGAUUUCUUCAUUGCAUAUUUAACAAUGGACAUUUAUAGUUUACUGCGUUAACGAGAUUGUUUUACUGCAGUUGUGUCACAUUUUAAUAAUUCUGCACAAUGGCAACAUUUUGUAAACUGCUUAGCAACCUGUUUUGGCAUUAAGCGGUAUAUAAAUCAAAGGAAUAAUAAUAAAGCAUAAGAGCAUUCUGUGCAAAGCAGGGGGAGCUCUACCCUUCGGUCAGUUAAUUUUGUUAACAUCCUGCUUGUUGGCCACUAUAGGGUCAAAUCCAGCGGUAUGCCUCCCUACCCAGAAGGUUCUUUGUUCCAGCGGAAGUUUCCAUGAAUGGAAAAGGGGAGGGAUGCAACCCCUUGUGCCACCUCCGACCCUCUUCCAAAUGGUCCACCAACUCCAGAGCAAAUUGGGGAGGCACCAGUGGCAUUCAACUCAAAAUCUCCCCACCUCCUUCUGUGAAUGGAAGCCUUUGCUGGUUCAAAGGGCCUUCCAUGACCAGGUGAACCCAACCAGAAUCAACCCGUACUUUUCAUCACUUGUGUAUCCUUAAUAUUUUUUUUUCUUUUCAGCAUAUUUAACACAUGUAAACUAAAACCUGAGUGCUGAUCUGAUAACAAUCAAAAGGAGGAAGUAUCCUUUAACUCAAGCGAUUUCACUCAUAACAGACAGCGUAGGUCAUAGUUUGUUUUUCUGCAGCUUCUCUCUGGUAAUGUGAAGGACUCAGACACUCGCUGUUCAGUGUUGGAACCUUUUAAGAUCAAAAGGGCCUUUUAUUUCAAAGAGCUUCGUGUUGUUCUUUAAAGGAUAAUGGGCUCCAUCCUUUGUUUCAAGCGCUGGAGUUUUUUAGCAGGGUUUGGAUUUUACGAUAAUUUCAUUAUUUUGGGGUCUUUAAUAGAAAGGAAAAUUUAAGGAGUAGUGCAAAGACCAAGGCAAGUUAGAAUCCCGUUCUUGUGCAAAGGUCCUGUGACUUUUGGACGAGUCGUUUGAGAAACACAUGUUUUGUGUGCCUGUUUCUGCUUUUGUCAUUGUGUCUCCUUUGCUAUUGAAUUUCACAUCUGGAGUAGUUUUCGUACAGGCAGCUGAAAGUUUUUCUUACAAUGUGGACUAUUUAUUAAGCUCAAACUGUGAAAAUGGAUCAAAUCACUUUCCCGAAGAUGUUUUGUGUGAUACAGUAAUCUCUGCAAAAGGAAAGCCUGUGCAUCUUAACCGCCUUGGAUUUGUUUCCUAUAGAAAAUGUAUGGAUAUUUAUUUGUCCAAGCUAAUAAUCAGGGCUCAAAGUUCAGGGACCUAGCUUUAAUCAGGAGCUACACUUGCAUUCUCUGGGAAUUUUCUGGCAGGAAAGUUUGUCCAAGUGUACUUUUCCUCCAAAUUGAAUAGCCACAGUAAUUCCUCACCCACCGGAGAUUAGAGGGCAUGGCUUUCAGGACGAUUUGAGCUGUGCCCACCACUCACUUUACAAAUGAAUCACUCACCGUUGGAAUUCUCUAAAUUGGGCUUACACGAUAUGACCUGUUUCAGCCAUACUGUCAUACCUUGGUUUUUGAACAGCCUAGUUCUCAAAUGUUUUAGCUCCCAAACGAUCGGAACCCGGAAGUAAUUGUUUUCAAACGUUGUUUUGGAAGCUGAACGUCUUGACGGGGCUUCCGUGGCUUCCGAUUGGCUGCAGGAGUUUCCUGCAGCCAAUCGGAAGCCCCACUUUGGUUUUUGAACGGUUUGGAAGUUGAGUGGACUUCUGGAAAAGAUUCCGUUCAACUUCCAAGGUAUGACUGUACUUGGGUGAGGCAUUCUCCUGCCCUGGUAUAUGGGGGAAAGAAUGAAAUUGCAUGGUGAGUUUGUUUGCAUCGAUGGGAGUUUUGUUGACAUAAGACAGCAUUCAGCUUAGCUCAUCUGAUGCUGGAAAAAUCACUUCAAAACCCUUCGGUCUACUUGGCUUUUGCCACUAGGCUGAAACCAUGGGCCAAUUUUCAGACAUCUUUAUUCGAGAUCACAGGCAUGCAAGGAAGCAAUAGAGAUAACUUGAUUCUUAGCUCUCUGUGUAAUGUUAUGCUAGUUUUGUAUGUGUGUCAGAGUCUGUUGGACCCCUAAAGAAAGUAUUUUUUGACCUUGCUAACAGAAACAUGUCACAGAAGUAUAUUUUUAGAACUGUAUACUCCAUCUGCGACAAACUUAAUUUGUGUCACAGUUCAGUUAUCCUUAUGAGUGUUACUGUUUGCCUAUUUUUGGUCUUCUAUCUUGCGUCUGACAAUGAUUUGGUUAUAUUUAGCGUUUCUUUUGUCUCUUCCUUGGGCUAGGUGUUGGCUAAAACAUUUCUAUGUUCAAUUAAUGUUAUGCUAGUUUUGUACGUUUGUUAAGUUGGGCUUUGCGGAGCAUUUAAAGGCAUUUAUUUAGGUAAAUGAGGUUACCAGUAGUAUUGAAUUUAUGUAAUGAGCACCUAAGAGGACAGUUUUAUAGAAGUGAAAGUUCCAUUGAGUUUAAUGGGGCUUUCGCCCAGUAGUAGUAGAGGAUUUGGGCUGCAAUAUUUGUGGCAUUCAUUUGUUUAUUAUUCUCUUCUAGAACACCUAGCAGAUCUAACAGGUACCUUAUUUUCUCUGUUCUUCAUCUUCCCCCACUCCAACUUGCGCAUGUAUUCAUCGUUUUGCUUUCCAUUCACGGAGGCACCCAGCUGGGAAAAUAGAAUGUGUACAAUACUCUGUGCCUUCAACUGACAUUUCUCAUAAAUUGCAACAGAAACACUGCUAUCAGCUGCUUAAUAGCAGGUAGAAUACAGCUCUACAUAUCAAGUCUCAGCAGGAUACAGAAACUAUGGUUACCAAAUUUCCAGUGUGGGGAGAAGGGAGAAGCUUCUAUAACAGACUGGGGGUGGGGUGGGGCUGGGGAGAGGGAAAACCCAUUGAAGGCAGUGAAAGCUGCCUUUUUGAAAAGUUUUUAUAGGGUCUGAAUCAGGGACUGCAUCACUCUUGCAUUUUUCUGUAUUGUUAUUUUUCCAGACCUCCCAGGAGGUUUUUGCGAUAAGGAGUGCCGUAAAGCCUGGAUAUCUUGGCGGUUGGUUGGGGUUUCUUUCUCUAAUAAACCCCCAUGUAAAAGGGCAGUGGUUAGCUAUACCGGUAGUUGUAAUACAAGGUGUUUAUCAAGGAAACAGAAGUUUUAAACUAGAUCCCCCUCGGAUAAAAACAUACCCUGCAGCAAGAAGGAGACUUUCUAGGAGUACAGAGUAGUUAAUGACAUUCUCCCAGUGCUUGCAGUAGGCCUUUCAAAGAAAAUUCACCCCCCCUUUCCUUCUCCCUAAAAAAGCUCAACAACUUUGAGCCAAACUCCCCCAAAUGGGGGUAGAUCACCGCCAGAUUUUAAUUCUGAAAUUUUAAUUCACGGCAGGAGGAGGAGGAAAAAAAUAAGACAUCCCUUGAAAAUAAGCCAUAGUGUGUUUUUUUGAGGAAAAAAUAAAUAUAAGACAUGUCUUAUAAUAUGAGAAACACGGUAUUUCCUUCUUUUCUUUGGCAAACAUUGAUAGGAUUACGACUAGCAAUUAAUUUCAUUUAAGGUCUAUUUAGGUCUGCGUCUCUGUGCAGAACAAAGACUUUUCUACUUUAUUGCCAUACAGAAGCUUAAGGAGUCAGAAGAGAAAAUGUACGACACUUGUUCUCCACAAUCUUUAAAUGAGUUGUUAUGUUAGCUUACUUUAAACUACAUUUUAAAUGGUUUAGACUACAAGAAAGUACGACAUUAGGCGAGUCACCUAGUCAACUGCCUAGUUCCGCACUUGUACAAUGUGAUAUGUACUGCUACCGUUUUUUUUCUUUUUUCCUUUUUAUUGAAUUAUGUUGCAUACACAAACAAUUAGAACAAAACUUACAGUCGUCAAACAGAUUAAGUAAAUAAAAAAAAUAAAAAACUAAUACAUAUCCCUACAUAUCUUUACAUGGAAGUAAGUUCUGCUGAUCUUGUUGGGACUACAGUCGUACCUUGGAAGCCAAACAGAAUCUGUUCCAGAAGUCCAUUCGACUUCCAAAACCAAAGUGCAACUUCUGAUUGGCUGCAGGAAGCUCCUGCAGCCAAUCGGAAGCCGCAGAAGCCCUGUCGGACGUUCGGCCUCCAAAAAUAGUUCGCAAAGUGGAACAGUCACUUCUGGGUUUGUGGUGUUCGGGAGCCAAAACGUUUGAGAACUAAGCUGUUCAAAAACCAAAGUACUGUACAACUGUAUAAGCAAGCAGAGAAUGGUCUGGCAUCUGUUACCAAAGCAUUGUGGAAACUCAGUGUGGACUUUGAUCAUUGGCUGGGUAGGAAAACAUAAUAAAAAGGGCAAGUUUCAAACUUUUUCGGUGACAGGGCUGGAAGUUGAAAGUCUGUAUAGAAUAUUGGCCACCAGACUCUGUUAGGUCUGUGCACUCCAUAGAAGUACUGAGCUCUGUCUGGACUAGAAAUGAUCUUUGAAUUUCGUGUGUCCCACCCUUUUAUAGAGAGAGAUUAAUGGUGAGUAGUUCGAAGUGGCCACCCACUCUGGCUCUUAACAGAUAGCUGAUAAGACUUCAGACUGGGUGUACAUAUAAGAACUUAAUAGUCAAUCAGAAAAGGGCAAAAUCAACAGAGCAGGAGAUAAAGUUCUGUUAUUCCAAUGUACAUAGCAACUGCACAACUUAAUAGAAAUGUUUUCAUUUACAAGAUUUAAGUGUUGGAAGUGUCUUGCCCCGGGACAGAUUUUCAUAUCUGUUGGGUAUUGCUUUUUUAUUUCAUGAAAUUUAUGCACGGCUUGAUUGUAAAAACCAAAGAACAAUUUGAAAGAAAACCACAACCGUAUUUAAAUACAUACAGAAGUAAAAAACUAAAACAGAUUAAAAUUACCUCUACUUUCUAAGCCUCUGUCCACAGAAAUUAUUGGAGGCAAUUGUUGGAUAUAAUUUUGCAAGUUACUGGGCAUACAUUUGGGUUAGAUCCUUUUCUGAUAUUAUUCAGUAUAAUUCAGGAUUAUAGUCCCACAGUUCAAAAAUCUCUGAAAAUUAACUUAAUGAUUUCUGGCAAAAGGAGAUGGGCUAGAGACAUUAGAAACACUAUAACAGUUUUGCCCUUUUUGAGGAAUUGUUAUUAAAAUGUUUGGACAUUGCUGAAAUGGAUAAAUUGACAGAUGCAGUUCAUAGAGUAGGCUCGCAGCAGGUAAUUUGCAUGGCAGAUGCAUGGGCAAAUUUUAUUUAUUGGAAUUCACACUGUGGACAAAUAUUGCUUGAUAGGAAUUCUUGUAAUUAUACUCUGUGUUUCUGAGUUGUUUGUAUGUCUGGAUUUAAAGGGGUAGAUAUAGAAUGAAUAUAUGAAAGAAAACAGUAAAGCAUGAGUGAUGUUGUGCGCUGGCCUAGACCCUGAGGAAAUUUCUGCUUCACGUUAACUUGACCCCCAUCGGCUCAAGCCAGCAUGACCAAUGGUUAGCGACAAUGGGAGUUGUAAUCCAAAAUAUCUGGACUCUGGGGAGAGGUCAGGGAAACUAACUAAAGCAUUAGGGGAUCUGCAGUUGAGGCAAAAGUAUUCUCUGAAGGUUUGCUUCUCUCAAAACCAGCUUUCCUUGUUCAGGCAAAAGUAAAUUAAUUCAAUAUGCUGAAAGAACUUUCCUAUUGAAAAUACCGUGUACACAAUAUCGACCUCUCCCACUGCCACCUUCAUUUGUUAAUUUCUUUAUUGCUCAAUCACACAUUUCUUCCAACAAGUUCAGAGCAGUGUAUAUAUGCAUACCAGCAUGGUUGAGUCAGUAUGAGAUGGAAGCUAAGAUAUGCAGAGCAGGGAAAUAAACAAUAUUUGGCGAGAUACUGCAAAGGCCAGUUUAUGUGUAGGAAUUGAGUUAAUAGGGUUGUAUGUUCAAUGAAAUGUUUUGCUAUUUUUCUAACGGGUUGCAAUAGGCAGGCAAAUCCUCAUUAUGCUUUUAGAGAUGUUGAAAAAAGGGAGAUUCUGUGUUUGAUAUUUGUUCAUGUCAAACUGAUACACAAAUAAAAGAACGUAUAGGGCACAUUUAGAGAAGUGUUUGCCAAAAAAAAAGCCCCACACCCCAUCUAUAAACAUAAUAUUGGGAUCUAUAGUGGCUUUAGUAGUUAGGCUGUGGAUUGAACUCAAUCAAUCAAAAUACUUUAUUUGACCGAUAGUCAGAAAGUGUGGAUCGAACUGUGCAUCAAUCCCCAGAUUGCAGAUAUACAUCCCUAAAUCCAUGAGAUAAAAUCCACAAAUUCCCAGGGUGCCCAACUUAUUUUGACAGCUGCCUUCUUGGAGAACACGCACCCACUUGGAAGAGUAAGAGUACGUGGAGAAGUAUUCUUGAUGCCCGCCCCACAAUUGCAAAAGUCCCUUCCGUCAAACAAGGCAUGCUGUACAGUGGUGGGGCCUUUGUGCAACACAUCACUUAAAACGAGGGGACUUUCCCGAAAGAAUGCUGGAAGCUAGUUUGUUAAGGGUGCUGUGAAUGGCAGUUCUGAGCGGAGUUAACUACAAUUCCCAGGAUUCUUUGCAGGAAGCCGUGUGCUUCAAAUGUAAACAAUGUGAACUUGGUCCUGGGUGGUGGGGAAAUGGAGACUUGUAGGUCUUGCUUGCAUCACCUUUGCCCACAGUUUGAACAGGCCUGUGAAUCAUUACCCAUCGCCCUUAAAACACAAUGUACUGCUCUUAAGCAUGGGUCAAAUGCUUUCGGAAUUCCAGGAUGCAAACCUCAAGGAAAGGUUACAGGAUCCCUUCCUUUUAGGGUGCACACCGUUGCAAGGCAGCAAAUAAAUAGAUGGAAACAAUGCCUUCAUUUGAAGUUGUAGAAAUGUUGAGGACCACUGCUCUAAAGGACUGGGGUAGCCAAUAUGAGGUCUUUAGGUGUUUGAAAACCAUCAUCCCAGGCCUUUGGCCAUGUUGGCUACAGCUGAUGGGACUUGUAGGUCAACCAGGGUCAUAGCCAGUAUUUUUAUGGGGGGUGGGCAGCCAAUGCUUGAGGAACUUCUUUUAGGAAAUCAAAGUUUUCUUGGGAAAUCACGGGUAAAAAUACCCCAUAAAUAGGGGUAUUUAGCUACGCCCAUGAGUCCAACAGCAUCCCAAGGACACCAAGUUGGCCACUGUUCCUUUCCUCCUGAUUUCCUCUUGUUUGCUGCUGCACUUGCUAUUUUCUUUUUUAAAAAAUCUUUAUUUACACAUUAAAAAUUACACAUAAUGAAAAUACACUGUUCUGUUAUAAUGAAAAGAUCUACACUAAAGAAAAAGAAAAAGGAUAAAGAAGAAAAGAAAAGAAAGAAUAGAGAGUUAAAACAAAAAAGCUUAUCAAGAACAUACAAUUUUUAAGAAAUACAAACCAUCAUCAAUGUUGUUAUAUACAACAGUAAUAUUUUCAUAUUGCUGCCCUACCAGAGUGUAAUAUAACAGCAAUACAUUUUUAUGCUGCCCAUCUGACUGGGUUGGUUAAUUUAACUAUGGUUAAUUUAAACCAUAGUUUAAUUUAAACUCUGAUUUCACGUGUUUGAGCAACGUGCCAGUGCAUUUUGCUCAAUAGUGCCUUUGGCGCUCUCACUGUCUCCUUCCUUCAAUGCACCAGGAAGAAACAAGAGAGAUGCUGUCAUGCGAGCCAGGAUUGAAGAAAGGAGCACCAUCUUUUGAGCAGCAUGCACCAGCACACUGCUUGUUCGUACUAAAACGUUGUUCGAUUUAAACUGAUUUAAUUUGUGAUGUGCAAACUAGGCCAAUGUGUAUAAUAUACAGCACAAUUCUAGGAAUGUUUACUCGGAAGAACGUCCCAUUAAGUUCAAUGGAGCUUACUCCCAGGAUCCCGGCCCCGUAGAAUUACAGUCGUAAGUGGAAACUUGAUAUAAGCGGAGGUUGCAAAGACCCUAUAAACAAAUCAGAGGCCCUUGAAUGCUGUACUGUGAAAAAUUUACUUUCCAAUAAAUAAAUAAGCUGGAUGGGAUCUGCAUUUCUGAGUAAAUCUCCUUGAAAUCAAUUUUGGAUAACGACACAUGCAGAUUGAAGAGCAUAGGUGUAAGAUUUACAUUCUGCAAAUAAAAUUUAUGUACCCUGAAAGGCAAAGGAGACUUUCGUUUCAUGCUUACUAUCUUUCAUUUUGUAUUUCCCUUUAGUGCACACAAGCACACUUGAGUGUGCACCAGCGCACAUAUUUUGGUGGAACAGCUUUAUGCUCUGUUGCAUUUGUUUUAUAGAAACCUUGUUUUCUUUAUUGCCUUUAUCUAUUACAUCUGUAAAACUUAUUUAAGCAAUGCCAAAUCUCUCUUUGGGGCCCUGCAUCUAAGACAAUCUCCACUGUCAAGCUGUUGCAAGGAGAUUUGUUGGGUAUGACUGUUCAUUAAAUUGCAAGGAGUUGAGGAUGAGGCUGUCUGUCUGGAGCUGAUGUGGUUAGUAGCUAGACAUUAGGUAAGAGACAACUGUCUCCUGCCAGCUUCUCCUUGCUCUUUUCCUGUAGAAAUUUUCUUAGCCUUUUGAUAUUACAGUCAUACCUCAGUUUGAGAACGCUGCGGUUUGAGUAGUUUCGGUUUAAGUACUCUGCGGACCCGGCAUGCGCAGAAGCGAUCUGCGUGGCAUGCGCAGAAGCGAUCCGUGCACACGUGGAAAUGGCACUCAGUUUAAGUACUUUGCGGGGAGCAAAUGGCUCCCCAGAACGAAUUGAGUACUUAAACCGAGGUACCACUGUACGUAUUUGCUUCAUCAAGUGCUUAUUAGUUACCUGGGAAAUUGUCACUGAUGACAACGGAUGACAACAAAAUAGAUGACAACCUAUUUUCUCCUGUGGCAUGUUUGUGUGAGCUCCUCCUCCUCUGUGGUUUUGUUUUAGUUUUUUACUAAUUUGUUUUGUUUCCUUUCAAUGACAAAGCGGAGAUACUAUUUGUCUGCAAUGUAUACCUGACAAAGAUAAGUAAUUACUUAUCCGUGUGGUCUACUGUACUGAGAAUUAAAUCAAUUUUAAAAAGAGUUUGCAGUGCUUCCCAAAAGUGUUGGACCUUGACUUUGGAAAGAGAAAUAUUGUGGCAAGAUUAUCGCCCCAGUUUUUAUGUAAUGUUCUCAUUGGACUAAGAAUGCUGCAUGUGAACCAUACUAAUCUUGAAAACAACUUACGACAAAGGGUGGGGAAACUGUUCAGUGUGAUCUUGAUAUGCUGGACUUGAUUAAAACAUAAAACUGUAGGCAGAUGAGCCCAUACAUGUGAAGAAAAUUAUCUCAUUCUGCUUUCUCUACAAAAAACAUAAAUUUAUGAGUCCCUUUCAUCUCGCCGCUCUUUUUGUCAUCCCCAACUAAAAAUCCUAAAUGCUUUAGCAUUUCCUUAUAGCAAGGGUGGGGAAGGAACUCCUCACUCCCAUAAUCUCCAGCCAGCAUGGCCAAUGGAGGCAGAGAGCAUAACUCCCAUGGCUAGUAGCCAUAAAUAGCCUUGUGCUGCAUUAAUUGGUCUAAUCCUCUUUUAGGAUAGGUUGCUGUCACUUCCUCCUUUGGGACCAUGUUCCACAGUUCAACUAUAUGCUGUGUACAGAAGUACUUUUAUCUGUCCUAAAUCUUCCAAAGCUCAGCUUCAUUGGAGGUCCAUGAGUUCCAGUGUCAUGAUAGAGGGAGAGAAAUACUUUCCCAUCCACCUUCUGCGUGCCAUGCAUAAUUUUAUAAACUCCUCUAAUGUCACCUCUUAUUCUCCUUUUCUUUAAACUAAAUAGUCCCAGACACUAAACUUCUCUUGACAGGGGAAUCGCUCCAUGCCUUAGUUUUUUUGGUGUUGGUAGAACGAAAAUGUUUUUCUCUACCUUAUUUGGCAAUCACUCGUAGCAGAGUAAGAUGGUCUUCCAUAAACACGGUUUUAAAAAGUGAGUCUGUAAGUGACUGUGGAGGCCAAUUCUGGAUCCAAACGUCCUUCCACAGUAGGGACAUAGGUUUCCUGGUGUGAGUUGAUCAUGGGGAGGGUUUGCCAAAUGUGCCUUCCUCUUAGCGUGUUUCUCCCUUCAAAGCCCAUGACACCUUUGGUAAAGCCUGUUCUCCAACUGGAGCGCUCGCAGGCCAGUGUUUCCCAUUUGUCAGUGUAUAUACUACAUUUUUAAAGAUUUUGCCUUGAGAGAGCCUUUGAAACUCUUUUGUUGACCACCAGCAUUACGCUUUCCAUUUUAAAGUUCAGAAUAGAGUAGUUGCUUUGGAAGACGAUAAUCAGGCAUCCGCACAACGUGACCAGUCAAACGAAGUUGAUGUUGAAGAAUCAUUGCUUUGACAAUGGUGAUCUUUGCUUCUUCCAGUACACUGGCAUUAGUUCGCCUGUCUCCCCAAGUGAUGUGUAAAAAAAUUUGGAGGCACCAUUGAGGGAAUCUUUCGAGGAGUUGGAGAUGGCGUUUAUAAGUGGUCCGUGUUUCGCAAGCGUACAGUAAGGUUGAUAGUACAAUAGCUUUGUAAACAAGCGUUUUGGUUUCCCUGCGAAUGUCCAGCAUCAACUCCAUCUCUAAACACCAGCUCUUGUCUACAACCUUAAGACUCCAGACUCAUCUCCUGCCUAGUCAUCUUCUGCAUGACAUCUGGCAUCAGACUGGAACAUGAACAUUUUGGUUCCUUUUUCUGUAUCUCAGGAAAGGGCCCUAGUUCAGUGGCAAAUUGUCUGCUUUGCAUGUAGAAGGUUCCAGGUUCAGUACCUGACAUAUAGGUGUGGAAAAGAUUCCUGCUGAAAUCUAGGAGAAUCACUUCUAGCCGCUGAAGACAAUACUGAGUUCAAUUUUAUUUAGUACCGAGGCAGCUCCUUAUGCCUUGUCUCUGAGAUCCUUUUUGAGAGCCAGAACUGUGCACUGCCUUACAGAUGUAGUCACACCAUAGAUCUGCAGAAAUACAUUAAUAUUCUGGCCAUUCAUAUUCACCCAUUUCCUAAUAAUCCCUAGCACAGAAUUUUCCACUUUUAUGCACUGCCACACACUAAAUUAGCAUUUUCAUAGAGCAGGCUAACACAACCCCCCAAAAUCUCUUUUUUUAUUAUAUUCAGAAUCCUGUCUAUAUGUACCUGAAGCUAGGUAUACUUCCAUGCAUGUAUCUAUAAUGUCAGUGCCAUUUCACCUAGUUUGGAGAGAUCCUUCUAGAACAUUUUCCAUGCUGGACGGAAGUUUCUUAUACUGAAUAAUUCGGUUUCCACUACAAACUUGGCUGCCUCACUGUUUGCCCUUGACUCCAGAUCAUGUACAGUGGUACCUCGGUUUAUGAACACAAUUGGUUCCGGAAGUCUGUUCAUAAACUGAAGCGUUCAUAAACUGAAGCGAACUUUCCCAUUGAAAGUAAUGGAAAGUGGAUUAAUCCGUUCCAGACGGUCCGCGGAGUAACCGUUCAUAAACUGAAGCGAACUUUUCCAUUGAAAGUAAUGGAAAGUGGAUUAAUCCGUUCCAGACGGGUCCGCGAAGUACUUAAACUGAAGCGUUCAUAAACUGAAACAUGGGUGUAAUUGGUUCCGGAAGUCUGUUCAUAAACUGAAGCGUUCAUAAACUGAAGCAAACUUUCCCAUUAAAAGUAAUGGAAAGUGAAUUAAUCCGUUCCAGAUGGGUCCGCGGCGUUCAUAAACCGAAAAUUCAUAAACCGAGGUGUUCAUAAACCGAGGUUCCACUGUAUAUAUAAAAAAUGUAAAAGCAGUGGUCCACAAAUCUUUACAGGGGCUUCUUGCAUUCUUACUUCUACUUUGAGCGAAAACAAAUACAGUUCCUCUAGCCCUCUUGCUUUCUGUUAUAAAACUAGUUAGCAGUCCAUCAGACCAAAGAGCCUUUAUUUAUUUAUUUUGCUUAUUUUUCCUUCAAACUCCAGGGUAAUUGAUUUUUGCAAUGGCUGCAUCUGAUUUCUGACCAGAUGAUCAAUAGGUUUUAUUGCAGACCAUGAAUAAAAUCCCCUUGCUUUUUUUUUCAUAUUCCAGAUUUGGAAUUCAGUUAGGUGCCCAUCUUAAAUUUUAAUUUGCCAAGGAUCUAAGAUCAAUCAAAUCUCAGUUGGUUAGAGCACUACAGUACUGAGUAAUGCAGAAGUUCUUAGCUGUCUUAAUAUUUACUCAUAGUUAGGACUCACUAUGUUCUAUAGAAAGAGCAUUUUAUAUUUUGUAUGGUAUUGACCCUGUAAAUCACUUUGGGACUUCUGGCAAUGGUAAGCUAUAUACGGUGUGUGUGUGUGUGUGUGUGUGUAGCUGAAUUUCAUACACAAAUAUUUUAUUAGUAAGCACGUGGGCUUACAUCUUCAGUACUGGUGAAUACAGUUGACUUGCAACUUACACACAUUAAACUUGUGCAAAUUCAAUUUUAUGCCCUUGGCUGAAAAACAUAAAAAUAAAAAAGGGCUUCUUGAAUCCAAGGGGUGGAGGGAAGUCAGAAAUCCUACCCUGGGGAGAGCGUGAUUACCGUCAGCAGAAGACAUGUGCAAAGGCUUCUGCUUCUGCUUUCCCCCCCCCCAUGUGCCCCCUGAAAUUGGCUGGGGGAGCGGUCAGGAGAGUCACCCAAACGAGGAGGGGGUGGUGGUUCCAUUUGGCAAGCUGAUAAGGAUGUGCAGUCUUAAUGCCAAAGGCUCAUUGGAUAUUGCUAAGAGCCCCUGCACUCAGAUAUGCAGGUGACACAACUUUGAUGGCAGAAAGUGAGGAUGGGUGGUUGUCAGUGGGAGGGAAAGGAACUCGAUUGGCAGCCAAGAAAAUAGACUUGAAGGAUAUAGAAGGUCUCUUCAAGAACUUUCAAACCCCUCACUAUUUCUUCUUUUGGUAUCUGGAGCUACAGCAGCCAUUGUUGACAUAAUCUGAGACAUGGGCUAGAGACUUGCUUUUUUCCCCAACAGAAAAUCUGAGCUCAUUUCUGAGGCAAGUUUGAUGUUGGGAGUUCAGUGUCAAAUAUAAGUAUUCUGUUGACAGUAGAGUACAGUCAUGACGACAUAUUGUUGGAGAUGCGCAUUUGAUAGCAUCUCAGGCUUGUUUUUGCGCAUGUUCCUUUGGUGAUGUGGGAUAGGUCUUUUACAAGAAUUAGAAUCAGGAACUACAAUGGGUACAAAAUGAAGACACCAGAAUACAGAUUGGAGUGAAGCCGUCAGUCUGCAUUACACCCAUGCUGCAUCAGUUGCUUGGGUUGCCAAUUUGUUUCCAAGCUCAAUUCAAAGUGCAGGUAAUACCCUUAAAGGCCCUAAAUGGUUCUCUUAAGUGUUGUGAUUCUCUUUAUGAGCCUGAAGAUCAGUAUCAGAAGCCCUCUUCUCUGGCCCAUCAUUCCUUAAGAUCCAAUUAGUGGGUACCAGGGAUGUGUCUGCCUCAGUUGUGGCACCGCAACUGUAGAAUUUGCUUCCCAGGAAAGUCCAGCAGGCUCUCCCUAUGCCUGCUUUUAGAUGGCAUUUGAAGAUGUUUCUAUUCCAGUAAACAGUCCGCUAGCCUUACUGGUUUUGCUUAUUUUUAAUUCUGCAGUAUAUUUAUAACUUUGUGCGGUUGUUAUACUGUGCUUCAUCAUUAACGUAUUUUCCACGUAAGCAGCUUUGGAAAAUUCAUUCAGAGUAAUUGUAGCAAAAUUUUAAAAGCGAAUGAAUCAUAGUAGGGAUUUAACAGUACGGUCCCGAUGUCCGGCUAGUUAUUUGUACAGAAAUUUGUUCAAGUGACGAAAUAACACUGUGUCUCUUCUGCUUUCUAACAUUCAAGAAGAAAAGACUUUGGUGCAUUGUUGUAUAGAUUAGAGGCAGACUGUAAACUCUGAGCUGCUUAUAAUACGCUUUCUGUAUUGUGUGUGAUGAAUCCCUGGACUUUCCCUAAAUUCAUCAGAGCAAAGCAAAGAAGAAUGCGAACAAUAGGUGCUAUGGAGUCUGACUCGGGCCUAAUGCGAGGAGGCUGUAAAAGCUGUCAAGAAACGUGAUUGAUUGGCUUUCACGCUGCAGUCCCCAGCGCAAAGCAAUAAUGUUCCUGCCUCUUUGGAGAGGGUUUUAUGUGCCACUCGGGGUCAUCACUUAUCAGACGAAGGGGCCAACGCUUCAGAUGAGGCUAAAGUGCAGUCGAUAAUUCAGAUGAAUUUGUGCACGUACUCCCGAAGUGAAACAAGUUGACGCACUUUGUGUUGAUAGCGAUGUUUUGAACAGAAAUCUGUGUUAGGGGAAAAGCCUUAGCUGGCGCAAUUUGUAGUUGACUUUAUUUGGGAUGCAAAAAGAAAACAAAGUUGCAAAGAAAACAAAAUUGAGGUAUCAAUGGCCUGCCCUUAGCAUUUAAAGCAGUUUUGGGCACCAAUCUUCUGAGGUCACAGUGUCAUUGUACAAUUGUAUACAAGUGAAAGGGAAAUGUAGUGGCUCUAUGGAUCGUGGCAGGUCAAAGAAAGCAAAAGGCAGACUGUUGGUAAUAAACCCGGUAAGCAAAACAAUCAGUGCACAGUGUUCUGGCGGUGGGGCGGUAUAAAAAAUGAUGUUGUGUAAUCACAAUCGGGUAAAGAGGAAAUGUAAAAUUACUUUCUGGAGUUGCUGGGGCAUUUUCUCACUCUUUCACUCUCUCGUGGAUAAAGCAACUUAUCAGAUACCUUACCUGCUUCACUUUCUUAGAAUGAGCAACACGUCAGCUAAUAAUAUACUGGCAAUAUUUUUAUAACACUACACUGUGUGAAAAUACAUAAACAGAAGAUAUACAAUAUGUGUGUGGAGUCACAAACUAAUAAACAUCAAUUAAAUGUUCCAUGAACAGGAAUGGAAAGAAUGAUGUCACUAUUGAAGAUCACUAAGAUGGAGGUGGCGCUGUGGGUUAAAUCACUGAGCCUCUUGGGCUUGCCGAUCAGAAGGUCGGCGGUUCGAAUCCCUGCGAUGGGGUGAGCUCCCGUUGCUUGGUCCCAGCUCCUGCCCACCUAGCAGUUCGAAAGCACGUCCAAGUGCAAGUAGAUAAAUAGGUUCCGCUACAGCGGGAUGGUAAACGGCGUUUCCGUGUGCUGCUCUGGUUCGCCAGAAGUGGCCUAGUCAUGCUGGCCACAUGACCUGGAAGCUGUACGCCGGCUCCCUCGGCCAAUAACGCGAGAUGAGCGCCGCAACCCCAGAGUUGGUGACGACUGGACCUAAUGGUCAGGGGUCCCUUUACCUUUAAGAUGGAGGCAGAAUGCCUUUCCAAAGUCAAUAUCUUGUAAACGUGAUGUGAUGGGUGCUCCAAAUGUAGAAAUAGGUGCUCCAAGCACAGCAGCAAACAGUACAGUUCUUCCAGGAUAAUGAACUGUUUCAGUGAUAAGUCUUAAUCAGCAAAUAAAUUGUCCACAAAGGUACAUCAAAUGGCCAUGGAUCAGCAAUCACUUGUAAGUGUAGUAAGCUGAUCACACCUGAUCAGGUUUAUUUAUAGGGCAAACAGGAAACUGCUCUCUGGCCACCGACUUUCAAUAAAUACUAAGCAAGGCUGUCUUAACCUUUGUUCUGGUAUAGAAUGCGAUUAUUUUUCCUUCCUUGUGCUUGUUUACAGAGAGAGUGUCCCUAGCCUAGAAGCUGUUCAUUUUAAAUAAAGCAUCUUUGGAGGGGAAACACUACGGAAAAUCUUGCAGAAAGGAAUGGUGUACAGUACCUAUUUAACAGAUACUCUGGAUCCGCAUUGAAGAAUGUAUUGUUGCUUAACAAGCCAUCAAAAGCUGUUGAUAUAGAUAUAGAACAGGCAUCCCCAAACUGCGGCCCUCCAGAUGUUUUGGCCUACAACUCCCAUGAUUCCUAGCUAACAGGGCCAGUGGUCAGGGAUGAUGGGAAUUGUAGUCCAAAACAUCUGGAGGGCCAAAGUUUGGGGAUGCCUGAUAUAGAAGAACUGUACAUUCAGCUGUUAGCCGCCCUCAGCCCAGUGUUCAAAUAGGGAAGGGCGGGGUAUAAAUAAAAAUUAUUAUUAUUAUUAUUAUUUUAUAGCCAACAAAAGGAAACACUCUCUUCAGCGAUGUAAUGCCCUGCCUGUCAGUAAACAGCACUGCAGAUUCUCAAUACACACAAUGGUCUCUUUCACAUGUAGCUGCUGUUGUAUUAGCACAUGGGUAGGCAAACUAAGGCCCGGGGGCCGGAUCCGGCCCAAUCGCCUUCUAAUACUGUGUGAUGAGCAGCAACAGCAUCCCUUCUGGUAAUUUGCCAAUAGAGGAGAGCCUCACACUGCACAUAGUCUUGCAGACUGCAUCCUUUAAUACAGCUACAGCUUGGGUAGGCAAACUAAGGCCCAGGGGUCGGAUCCAGCCCAAUCGCCUUCUCAAUCCGGCCCACGGACGGUCCGGGAAUCUGCGUGUUUUGACAUAAAUAGGAUGUGUCCUUUUAUUUAAAAUGCAUCUCUGGGUUAUUUGUAGGGCACAAGAAUUCAUUCUUUUUCCUCCUUCAAAAUAGAGUCCGGACCCCACAAGGUCCGAGGGACAGUGGACCGGCCCCCCGCUGAAAAGGUUUGCUGACCCCUGCAUUAGCAGGUGGGUCACAUACUGUGGGUGAUGUGUGAAUGUUGCUGCCACACGGCUGAAGUUAGUGAUGUGGUUCAGUCACUGACAUAGCCCACAAGACAGGUGCAAGUAGCUGAUUUGCUGUUGCAGACCCAGCUGAAGGGAGGCUUUGUUAUCAGCUGUUAUAAAAGAUAAACACAAUAUUUUUU